rnacentral:tRNA from 1 species
GGGGGUGUAGCUCAGUUGGGAGAGCACUUGCUUUGCACGCAAGGGGUCAUCGGUUCAAGUCCGUUCACCUCCA